UUGAAAGCCUAGUGAUCAUGACCACAUAAAUUCAAGCAAAUUUUUUUCUUUCAAAACGUUCUCAUCACCCACCAUGACUAAUCAAGGUGAUGUUAUGGCAGGAUGUAGCAUUGAAUGGACUGAUGGGAAAUGAAAUCUGGGUAUUACUAUUAUCCCCAUUAUGCCUUUAAAUUCCUUAGUUUUGUAGUCACCAGUUAUUGUUGUUGUUGUUUCAUUGAUGUAGGCGCAAUAAAUUCUCUCCUUGGCAAACAGAUAAGAGGAUGUUGAUGACCCCAUUGCAAGCUGCAAUUUGCACGGAACCUAGUGGGGAUUGAAGAGGAUAAGUGGCACUAUUACACUGAAAGGUUCUCGAAUUAAAUUCACACCUUUUGGCUCAAGGACCAUCCUAUAAGGUGCAUGCUACCGUGCUAGUGUAAGAAAUUGCGACAGCACUGUGUGAUCAACCCAUCAUAGGGACCAAAAACACUGUCAUUAUGUAAUAUUCCCCUUGGCAUUCUAAUUCUCCAGUCAGAUUUUGUAAUAAAUUUUCAGAGCUAGCUAGCUCUCAUGAACUCCUUCCACU
rnacentral:lncRNA from 1 species